rnacentral:rRNA from 1 species
UACGGGGGGGGCAAGCGUUGUUCGGAAUUACUGGGCGUAAAGGGCUCGUAGGCGGCCAACUAAGUCAGACGUGAAAUCCCUCGGCUUAACCGGGGAACUGCGUCUGAUACUGGAUGGCUUGAAUCCGGGAGAGGGAUGCGGAAUUCCAGGUGUAGCGGUGAAAUGCGUAGAUAUUCGCAAGAACACCAGUGGCGAAGGCGGCCAACUGGACCAAUACUGACGCUGAGGCGCGAAAGCGUGGGGAGCAAACAGG